rnacentral:rRNA from 1 species
AUACGUAGGGUGCGAGCGUUAAUCGGAAUUACUGGGCGUAAAGCGUGCGCAGGCGGCUUUGUAAGACAGGUGUGAAAUCCCCGGGCUUAACCUGGGAACUGCGCUUGUGACUGCAAGGCUCGAGUGCGGCAGAGGGGGGUGGAAUUCCACGUGUAGCAGUGAAAUGCGUAGAGAUGUGGAGGAACACCGAUGGCGAAGGCAGCCCCCUGGGUCGACACUGACGCUCAUGCACGAAAGCGUGGGUAGC